AUGGAGGACAAUAAUCCACCAACCCCCACAAAACCAAGAGUGGUAAUUUGUGUAGGUGACAUCCACGGCUACAUAGAAAAGUUUCAAAAUUUAUGAUCAAAUCUUGAAUCUUGCAUUGAACCAUCUGAUUUUGAGACUGCCCAUAUCAUUUUCUUGGGUGAUUAUUGUGAUAGAGGUCCAAUACUAGUAAAGUUCUUGACUUUUUCAUUGCUUUACCUUCAAAGUAUCCUAAACAAUCCCAUGUUUUUCUGUGUGGAAAUCAUGAUUUUGCAUUUGGGGCAUUCUUGGGUGGUUUUGUGAGACAUGGAAAGAGUAUGAAAUGAAUGAAGAAAGAGAGGGGUAGUAUAAAGGUGAAGGCUUUGAGAAUAUGCACUUGCAAGGGAGGAGAUGGGCUGGGAAUCAUAGUGUUAAGUUUAAUGCUGUAAAGGGUAUUGAUUAUAAAGGGUCUAUUUAUGAUGCUGCUCCUACUUUUGAGUCUUACGGUGUUCCUCAUGGUUCUGCUGGUAUGGUUCCUUAAUUCCCUCCCCCUUUGUUUUGCUGGUGUUUUUGGAUUUUGUGUUGGAUUGUUUGCUAAUUAGAUAUGAUUCCUGUUUUUCCCUUCCUAAUUGAUGGUGAAUUUGUUGUUUAUUGUGAUUCGGUUAUCGCACUACUUUGUUGUUGUUACUGUUUCGUUAUUAGCUGCUAUGUUUUCUUCACUGUUGUUUUUGCAUUCCAUACCUACUUCCGAGGGUCUUCCGGAACAACUUCUCUACCUAUACGACGUAGGCCUAAGGUCUGUGUAGUCUACCCUCCCCAUACCGCACUUGUGGGACUUCACUGGGUAUGUUGUUGUUGUUGUUGUUGUUUGUUGUAAUUGAUGGUGAAUUUCAGACUACUGUGCUAGUUGUGAAAAUAGUUUAUUUCUCUUUUAUGAUCCGUUUUCUACAUAGUAACGGUGAUUGUGGAUCAUUCUUUUUUUUAGCUGAUGGUAAGUUGAGCUUUUGUACUGGUGUUUCGGAGUGAUUCCAUUUAUCAGUAGCUUGUGUUCUGUCUUUUACAUGAUGCGACCUGUUUUUUCCCUCAUACUGUGGUUUCCGAAAUUCAGAACUUGAACCUAUGGACCAGUGUAGUACCAAACAGUAUGCUGACGAGAUUCGAAUGUACAUGCUAUUCGCAAAUGAUAUUGUAUCUAAAUCUAACAUGGGAAUUCUCCAAUAGUUGGAAUUGAUAAGAAUUUUAGAGAGUGAGGCUUUGGGACGAAAUGGGCUGAGAAUCGUCUUGUUAAGUUUAAUGCUGUAAAGGGUAGCUCCUACUUUUGAUACUAUUGGUGUUCCUCAUGGUUCUGCCGGAAAAAGGUCCUGUUAAAUUUAUAUGAGGUCGAGGAUACACGUUUUCACCCAAUACAUACGUGAUCUACUAUUUUCACCCCUCAUAUUUUGGUUCCCAAGUCCUAAUUAAAUACUUGUUUACUCUACGUAUGAAUCCUCACAUUAUGGUUCCUAGCUGCAUAGUACUUGUUUACUCUAUUUAUGGAUUGGGUAUUAUUACCAACAAUAUCCAGGAUGAUAUCCCCAUGAUACAUGCUACUUGUAAAUGGAAUCGUAUUUAUUGAGAAAUGUAACAAGGGAGUCAUUCAGAAGCUAAAAAUAAUUAACAGCAACAACAUACCCAGUGCAAUCUCACAGGCGCAAGGUUUGUUUCUACUAACUGCAUAAGCUAGUUUGGAAGCAAAUGACGAUCCAAGCCAUAGAGGCCAAAUGCUGCAACCGAGCAGACUGAAGCCAUCGUGUCAUGACGGCGUCUAAGUUGGACCAGAGGUGUAUCCAGGAUUUCGAGAGGAUGGAUGCGCUAUUAUGAAAACACUUCCGAGUGUGGGUUCACACAUCUAUAUAUAUAAAUAUUUUUAGAAAAAUAUAACACUACUAUAUAUGAUCUAGGGUGGGGAGCAUGGGUUCACGUGAACCCGGUGACCCCCACCUAGAUAUGCCCCUGGUUGGAACUACUUAGAAGUACUAUAAAGAGUAAGGGUUUUAGGAUAAGUCGAAGUAAGACAGAGUAGGGGUUUUAGGAUAAGCCAAAGUAAGACAAAGCAUAAGCGUUUAAGGAUAAGUCGAAGUAAGAGUAAGUUUUAGAAUAUGUAGAACCAAUAAGAAUAUGCAAUUUUAGCUUCGUAAGAAGAAUGAAAGUAAGGUGAGACUAGGCAGGAUUGUGGUGCAUAAAUGAAGACAAUUCAAAAAGUUAAGCUCAAUCUUCCAGGAGAAUGACAUGAUAAACGAA